AGUACUGCUCUGUUAGCAGCAGGAGCAAAUGAAAGAAUUCAGUGUCAGCAUUUUCUGUUUCUCAUCUGACAAACAAGGUCAGGUACUUCUUUGAACAACCCAGUUCCAAUAGCUGUGAAACAUAAAGAGACAAGCAGGGGAAGAUUUUCCAGAAAGGCUGGUGGCUAGGCACAAGCAAAUUACACCAUUAAUGUCAUCCUGGCGAAUGAAACAAGAGAAUAGUAUUUAUCAGAGAAAGUCUGGUGAGUUGAAGUCCAAGACCCCAGGAAACAACUAGCCCUGCUGGGCUGCCCCUCCUUCGGAGUGGGACUAUAUGAUCCUCAUCAGGCCAAUCCACGUCACAGAAUGGUCUAGGCAUUGGAUGAGUGCCUCAAUCUGAGCCAAUGAAGGUCAUUGCUGAGACAUUUUACUGGUUGCCAGGCUGCAGGCAUCCCAGGCUUCCUGCUGCCCUCAUGUCUACAACCUGUCGUCUGGAACAUUCCAGGAGCCACUUUUAUCACUUGCAGCAAUCUUCUUCAAAUACCACAGACUGGGCAAUUUAUAAAUGAUGGAAGUUUAUUUGGCUCAUGGUUCUGGAGACUGGGAAGUCCAAGAACAUGGCACUGUCAUCUGGUG
rnacentral:lncRNA from 10 species